rnacentral:rRNA from 1 species
GACGAACGCUGGCGGCGUGCUUAACACAUGCAAGUCGAGCGAGAAACUUCGGUUUCUAGCGGCGGACGGGUGAGUAACACGUGGGCAACCUGCCUCACAAUGGGGGAUAGCCUUCCGAAAGGAAGAUUAAUACCGCAUAACACAAAGGAAACGCAUGUUUCUUUUGCCAAAGAAUUUCGUUGUGAGAUGGGCCCGCGGCGCAUUAGCUUGUUGGUGAGGUAACGGCUCACCAAGGCGACGAUGCGUAGCCGACCUGAGAGGGUGAACGGCCGCAUUGGAACUGAGACACGGUCCAGACUCCUACGGGAGGCAGCAGUGGGGAAUAUUGCACAAUGGAGGAAACUCUGAUGCAGCAACGCCGCGUGAGUGAUGAAGGUCUUCGGAUUGUAAAACUCUGUCUUCUGGGACGAUAAUGACGGUACCAGAGGAGGAAGCCACGGCUAACUACGUGCCAGCAGCCGCCGUAA